UUCCCAGGACUUAUCUUGUGCAGUUAUAAUUGCAUGUGUGCAUCAGUGGUGGAGGUAACCGUUAGACCUGGAGAAAACAUCACCUUCUACUGUGACUGCAAAAGAUCACUCGGAGUAUAUAACGUGUGGUUCUUCAGGAACUGUUCCCAUGAAAACCAGCAUCAUUAUGUUAUAGAUUUAAAGGAUCAGAUGAAAGAGGAACGACAAUUUCCACGUUUGACAUUUUUAAAGAACGACUCUUCAGAAGCCUUUGACCUGCUGCUUAUGAAUGCCUCUGAUUCCGAUGUGGGCUUCUAUUACUGUGGAACAGCAGAGGUAAAAGUGGAGGGUGAAAGAACCAUCUACAUUAAAGACGUUUACACAUAUGGGAACAUCACCACAAGACUCAAACUCAACACGUGUGGACCUCGUGUUUAUGCCACCGAGACAGUGGAGGACUGCAGUGUGUGCUGGAAGCUGCUCUUCUCUUUAUGCCCGGCUGUUUUUCUUGUCUCUGUUCUCUUCUCCUCUCUUUUGUUUCACUUGCUUUCCCACAAGACAGGUAAAAAAAAUCAAGGUGACGGAAAUCCUCUUGAACAAAAAGGACACAGGGUUGAAACACAGGAUGAAAAUGUAUUUUAUGCUGCAUUGGAAAUCCAUCAGCCAACAAAGAGAACACAGAAGAAAAAUGGGAUCCAGUCUUCAGACUUUAGGACACAUACCACUGUCAAAUAUGCCUUCAAUGAAGAUUUACAUUCCUUUGAAAUGUGAUCCAACAUGAAUAAUCAAUGUAUUCUCUUUUUUUUUUGUCAUCCUCUCAAAGCUGAAAUCACAAAAAAUUGUUUAUGUUCUUUCUCGUAAAUAAACAAUAUUUUGUAUUUAUGUUUUUUCCCUUGUCAUGUACAGUCCCAUGGCAAGCAGAAUGGUACUCUGGCUAAACAUAUUUGCUUUAUUUGCUUAAUAAGUACUUCUAAAUCCUCCCCUGACACCUAACCCUUGAUGAUUUAUUUUAUUGCUGUCAAUAAUAAUAUAUGCAAACUGAUACCAAGCAAAGCAGAAAGAAUAAUGGUAAAUGGCCUGUACUUGUAUAGUGCUUAAUCAAGUCCAGAUGACCACUGAUGUUUUUGGCAGAUAUUUUAGUUUUAGUCUUAAUCUUUUACAUUACAAUGCUUAUUAGUUUUAGUAAUAUUUAGUUAUAUCUAUAUACGUCCCUCCAAACCCCUGUAGUGUGCGCUGUGGACUGACGCAAAGCGGAGAGGGGUGAGGAGAUGUAAGACCAAAUGGAGAUGAGCAAGUCGGAUAUAUGUAGAAGACACCCUCAAUCCCCAGCACCUGCCAAAGGGUUGGAGGGCUGAAAGCCAGUCAGGACAAGGACUGCCACCACAGCUCCCACCGUGGCAUCACACCAGGGAGUCCCCACCAGGCCAACCAAGAGGGGGCUGGGCACAAGAAUAGAGAAGGGGAUAGGAGAUCUUAAAGAAACAAUGAAUUAAAAAAAAAUUAUAAAAAUAAUAAUUAGUAGUAAAUAAAAUUAAUUCAAUUAUAAACUACACCCAAGCGGCCUUGAUGUUUUCAAUACUAAGCAAAUGUUUAAUUUUAAAAGUUGUGUACUGUGUGUAUUUUUGUGUUUAUUGUAACAUAUGGAUG